rnacentral:misc_RNA from 1 species
GAAAUGCGAUAAGUAAUGUGAAUUGCAGAAUUCAGUGAAUCAUCUAAUCUUUGAACGCAUCUUGCGCUCCUUGGUAUUCCUUGGAGCAUGCCUGUUUGAGUAUCAUGAAAUCUUCAAAGUAAAUCUUUUGUUAACUCAAUUGGUUUCUACUUUGGUAUUGGAGGUCUUUGCAGCUUCACACCUGCUCCUCUUUGUUCAUUAGCUGGAUCUCAGUGUUAUGCUUGGUUCCACUCGGCGUGAUAAGUUAUCUAUCGCUGAGGACACUGUAAAAGGUGGCCAAGGUAAAUGCAGAUGAACCGCUUCUAAUAGUCCAUUGACUUGGACAAUACUUUUAUGAUCUGAUCUCAAAUCAGGUAGGACUACCCGCUGAACUUAAGC